rnacentral:lncRNA from 1 species
GUUCAUGUAUUAAUUAUUGGCAGUAUACAAUUUUUGCUUUUUUAUGGUAUAGCCAUUUUUAAAUAGAAGAAAGACCAUUUAAAAUAAUGCAAGCUUAUACAAUUCUUACACUUCAAGCACUGCUGAAUAUAUUGAGUGGAUCCAAAAUGUUUUGCAAGGAAAACAAUUAUUGUGUGGAUGCUGAUAGAUGAAUUAAAUAUCAUUAAAUAUGUCUGCUAUGAAUGACUUACAAAAAGACUUGUGAAAGAAAACUAAUUGCCAAACUUGUAGCACAUAAUCUAACAGAAAAGCAAAAGAACUGCUCAUUCUUCAGUCUAUGCUAAUGUUAGAAAUUGCACAUGAUGAUAACACAUUCUGCUGCUCCAUUUUUGCUGGAGAUGAAACUUAUAGCAUGACUCUCAAAUGAAAAAACGAAAUGCAAUGGAGAAAUAUCCAUUUACUUAUCUCAAGAAAGGUUUGUGCUCAGCCAUCAGAAUUGAAGACAUUAUUAUUUUUUUUAAUUAUAGAGGUAUAGUACUCAAUGAAUUUAUUUCUGUAAAUUAUUACUUCUUUAAAAGUGUGCUAAAAUAUAGCAGUUCUAUAAUUCUAGCAGAUAUUUUACUAAAAAUUCAGAAAUUUUGGCAUCUUAUGAAUAUCAAAUUUCAUUUACUUUUAUAUCUAAUCUCUUUAUUAUACAAG